GACGCUAAUUUACUUACUUGAUGUGUAGAAUUCCAAGUCUGAAGGUCUUGUCACCUGUUAGAUUCUGUGAGACUUCCCUUUCUAAAGCCAGCAAUCAGGUGGCCUCCUUUCAGUGAAGUAAAAAAAUUAUUGCCAUGGAUUUUGGAGUCCAUGAGAUCUAGCUGAGUAUUUUGCCUUUUCCAUUUACCAUAUGAACUUCAGCAAGUUACAUAUCCAUUGUGAGCCUCUUAUAUCUUCAUAUGGAAAAUGGAUUCUCAAAAGAUUGUUAUAAGGAUUUCAUGAAAUAAUCUAUGUAAAACCUCUAGCACAAUACUUUGCUCACACUCAAUAUAAAAAGUUAAUACAAUCCUUUUGAUACUUUGGCUUAAGCUGAAAUAUUUAUUUCCUUUAAUGUGUAACUUUAUAGGCAUUAUUUUUAUUAAUUCUUUUAGCCCCCCCCAUUGAAGUAUAAUAAAAUUCUUUAAAUUUGUAUCAAGUAUGAAUCAUAGACUUUAAAAUUAUAAUAGUAAUUUUCAGUGAAUAUUAAGUUUUACAUGUGUGUUUUAACCUAUUAAAUAUAAUUUCCCUGUGAAAUGUUACUUUUUUAAAUUGAAGUAUAACUGACAUAAUAAGCUGUAUAUACUUAAAGUGUGUGGAUUGGAAAGUUUUGAUGUGUAUAAACGUGUGAAGACGUAUCACAAUCAAGGUAAUGAACAUAUUCAUCAAAAGUUUCCUCAAGCCUCUGUAAUCUCCCCUUCUUCCCUAUCCCUGUUCCCCAGGCAACCACUCCUCUGCUGUCUGUCACUGUAGACUUAGUUUCCAUUUUCUAGUACUAUACAUAAAUUCAGUCAUAUAGUGUUUUUUUUGUGUGUUUUAUUAUUAUUUUUUUUUUCAUCUUUUUGUGGGGGACUUAUCUGGCUUCUUUUACUCAGUAUAAUUAUUUUGGAAAUUAUCAAUGAUUUUAUGUGUAUCAGUAAGUUCGUUACUUUUUAUUUCUGAUAGUGUUCCAUUUUUGAUAUAUCACAAUUUAUUCACCAUAAAACUGCUAUAAAUCUUUGUAUAAGCAUAUGCUUUAUUUUCUCUUGGAUUGUUUCUGUUUUACAGAUAGUGAAACAGGCAUUUUGAUAUGAUUUAACUAAGGUCUUGUAGCCUGAAAAUGUCAGAGCUAGAAUUCAUUACUUGCUCAGAAUAUAAGUUGAGAGUCGCAUUCUUUUUUUCAUUGUUUUUUUUUUAAAAUAUAUUUUAUUGAUUUCAGACAGAGGAAGGGAGAGGGAGAGAGAGAAACAUCAAUGAUGAGAGAAAAUCAUUGAUAGGCUCCCUCCUGCACGCCCCCUACUGGAGAUCUAGUCCACAACUGGGCAUGUGCCCUGAUGGGGAAUUGAACCUUGACAUCCUGGUUCUUGGGUCUACCACUGACCACACCAGCCGGACAAGAGUGGCACUGUUAAUUGCUUUUGCUGCUCCUUCCAGUUAUGUCCUUUUCUUUCUUCAUUGCAAAUCAGUAGUGUUGUUUGCAUUCACCUUGGGUUUCGUUGUAGAAGGACCUAUCAUAGAAUGGUUAUUAGGAUGAGUGAGACAUGUAAAGUACUUAGAGCAGUGUCUGAUGCAUAACUAAUGAUCAAUAAAUCAUAGCUGCUAUUUGGGAAUCACCUUUUCUGAGGAUAGAACCCUAAGAAUAAUAUUUUAUUUUAGGAUAUGAGCAGAGGAGGAAGUUAGCAAAGGAGAUUGCAAAGCCAUACUUAGAGAGGGAAAAGGAAAAUUAGGGGAGAACAAUGUCUUAGAAUCCAAAAGACAGUUUCAGAAAGUUAGUUCCCUUUUAAAGGAAGCUAAUUAAUAGUAGGUUUUUUUUUUAACCAAAACGUCUUCAUUACCUGAUGGUGUAAUUUGAAGUACAGUCUUUAUGGCAUCUUUAAAAUUUAAUACAAAUUUAAAUAAAAUUUAAACAUUCUAAAAUGUUUUCUAAAUUUAAUGAAUCUAUUUGAAACAUAACCCAAUUGAUAAUCAGUGUGUUUUCCUUACUUUGAGAAAUAACUCAGCAAAUGAAACAUAUUGUUUCAUUAUAACUAAAGCUGAUCUCAAGGAAAGAAAGGAUGUUAGUUAUUCUGAAUUUCAACCAGCUCUGCCCACCUUUUUUAAAAAAUUUACUUACUGGUUUCAGAGAGGAAAGGAGAGGGGGAGAGAAUCACUGAUUGGCUGCCUCCUGCCACACACCCCAAUGGGGAUCAAACCUACAACCUGGGCAGGUGCCCUGACUGGGAAUUGAAUUGGUCGACACUCAACUAUUGAGCCAUGCCAGCUGGGCUCCUCCUAGUUUAAAUGCAUAAAUUCAGAUUCUUGCUUCAGCAUGAAAAGUUCUGUGAUUAAAGUUUAGGUUUGGAAACUUCAGUCUGUGCUUAAAGCUUUUUCAUAUAUAUAUGUGUGUGUGUGUGUUAAUUUAUUCUGAAAUGUCCAUUUAAUUUUUGUUGAGACACAAUUUAUGUCUCAUUAAUGUCUUAUUUUUUCUUUAUUCAAAUGAUCUUCCCUUCUUGUUUUCUUCCCAGGAGACUUGUAGUCUAUCUGUUGCAUAAGAGUGGGAGAUGGGUCUCACCCUGGUUAACGCACAUGUCUGUAGGCCUAAUAUUAGCUUGUUUGGCUGAUAGAGAAGUAUCUGCAGCUUUUAAAAUCCCAGAUCUCUAGAAAGUUCCACUACAUUUUUCAUGGAAUAACGGGUCCUCUCAGGAAAACAGCCAUAGUUGCUUCAAGUUAGCCUUUUUUUUAAGGAGGGGUGGUCAGAAGUACUUGCCCCAGUCACUAAAAAUUGUUAGUGUCCCAUUGUAGAGGAAUUAACUGUUUACCUUCGUAAGGUGCCAGAGACUUCAGAAUCAUCUUUGAGUCUUUCCAUUUCCUUUAACCCCAACACCCAAUUUUAGCAAACCUCUUAAAAUUUAUCUAGAAUCCAUAUACAAUUUGCCAUUUCCAUUGUUACCCACCCUAGUGGAAGCCACUAUUACUUCUUUGAAUCAUUGUAACAGGUCCUAAUUCCCUUUUGCCUUCUUCCAGUAAUUUUUUCCAGAGAACAGCCAGAGUAAUAACCUUUUCAAGUCUAAAUCUGGUCAUCAUGGUUGUCAUUCCUUCUCCUAUUUAUAACCGUUUUAAAUUUCCAUUUCACUUCAAAUGAAAGUCCAAAUUUCAAAUCCAAAUUU